GAAUCGGGCGGCGUGCUCGCUUCGACGCCAUUUUCUUUCGGCCACAAAUAGGAAGGUUGAAACAGCCCCAAGGAGAGCAUUCCAAGCAGGAGCUCUACCCGUUGCUGCGGCUGCUCUUGAAAAUCUUCCUUUUUUUGUUACCUGCUGAGAACGAUCCCCCUUUUGAUACGUUGAGUGGAGGCAUUUCAUUUCUCUCCCUCCCCCAUUUCCUCUCUCAAAAUGACGCUAAAUCCCCAGUUUCAACAGAUCGGCGAGAGUUUCGUCAAGCAGUACUACUUAAUCUUUGAUGGAGAUAGAGAAGGAAGGGAGAAAUUGGUGAACUUUUAUCACGGAGAAUUGUCGUUAAUGUCCUUUGAAGGAGUACAAGUACAAGGUGCUGCUCAGAUUAUAGAAAAAAUUAAGGGUUUGAGCUUCAACAAAAUUGCGAGAGCAAUCACCACAGUGGACUGUCAACCAACCUUUGAUGGGGGUGUUAUGGUCAACAUUCUAGGACAACUAAAGAUGGACGACGACCCUCCUCACGGGUUCAAUCAGACGUUUGUGCUCAAGCCCCUUGGCGACAGUUUCUUCGUCCAGCAUGACUUCUUUCGCCUGGCCCUUCAUCACAUUGCCAUAUGAACAUUGGUGCGAAGUGCCAGGCAAGGAUGAGGCAAAUGCGUCAUAGUCACCCCUCUGCUGCAUCUUUCUCUUAUGGAUGAAGACCCAGUGCAUGGAUUCUCGCAAACAUUCGUU
rnacentral:misc_RNA from 1 species